rnacentral:rRNA from 1 species
UACGGGGGGGGCAAGCGUUGUUCGGAAUUACUGGGCGUAAAGGGCUCGUAGGCGGCCAACUAAGUCAGACGUGAAAUCCCUCGGCUUAACCGGGGAACUGCGUCUGAUACUGGAUGGCUUGAGUUUGGGAGAGGGAUGCGGAAUUCCAGGUGUAGCGGUGAAAUGCGUAGAUAUCUGGAGGAACACCGGUGGCGAAGGCGGCAUCCUGGACCGGUAUUGACGCUGAGGCGCGAAGGCCAGGGGAGCAAAGCGGG